rnacentral:rRNA from 1 species
AAGAGUUUCUACAACCUAGCAGCGGCUGCACUGGGUGCGUAACGCGUAUGCAACCUACCUUAUACUGGGGGAUAGCCCGGAGAAAUCUGGAUUAAUACCCCAUGGCACAUAUUGAUGGCAUCUGAGAUAUGUUAAAGAUUUAUUGGUAUAAGAUGGGCAUGCGUCUGAUUAGCUAGUUGGCGGUGUAACGGACCACCAAGGCGACGAUCAGUAGGGGUUCUGAGAGGAAGGUCCCCCACACUGGCACUGAGAUACGGGCCAGACUCCUACGGGAGGCAGCAGUAGGGAAUAUUGGGCAAUGGUCGGAAGACUGACCCAGCCAUGCCGCGUGCAGGAAGAAGGCCCUCUGGGUUGUAAACUGCUUUUAUCUGGGAAGAAAAAGGCCUGNCG